UACGGGGGGGGCAAGCGUUGUUCGGAAUUACUGGGCGUAAAGGGCCAGUAGGCGGCCAACUAAGUCGGAUGUGAAAUCCCCAGGCUCAACCUGGGAAUUGCAUUCGAGACUGCAUUGCUGGAGUACGGAAGAGGAAGGCGGAAUUCCCGGUGUAGCGGUGAAAUGCGUAGAUAUCGGGAGGAACAUCAGUGGCGAAGGCGGCCUUCUGGUCCAGUACUGACACUCAAGUGCGAAAGCGUGGGGAGCAAACAGG
rnacentral:rRNA from 1 species